rnacentral:rRNA from 1 species
GCGCGAAAACUUUACAAUGCUGGCAACAGCGAUAAGGGAACCUCGAGUGCCAGGUUACAAAUCUGGCUGUCGAGAUGCCUAAAAAGCAUUUCAUAGCAAGGGCCGGGCAAGACCGGUGCCAGCCGCCGCGGUAACACCGGCGGCUCGAGUGGUAACCGUUAUUAUUGGGUCUAAAGGGUCUGUAGCCGGCCGGAUAAGUCUCUUGAGAAAUCUGGCAGCUUAACUGUCAGGCUUUCAGGAGAUACUGUCUGGCUCGAGGCCGGGAGAGGUGAGAGGUACUUCAGGGGUAGGGGUGAAAUCUUGUAAUCCUUGAAGGACCACCAGUGGCGAAGGCGUCUCACCAGAACGGACCUGACGGCAAGGGACGAAAGCUAGGGGCACGAACCGGAUUAGAUACCCGGGUAGUCCUAGCCGUAAACGAUACUCGCUAGGUGUCGGCCACGGUGCGACCGUUGUCGGUGCCGUAGGGAAGCCGUGAAGCGAGCCACCUGGGAAGUACGGCCGCAAGGCUGAAACUUAAAGGAAUUGGCGGGGGAGCACCACAACGGGUGGGAGCUUGCGGUUU